CAAUUUCAAGGAGUUUUUCGUAAAAGAAAUUUCACGAUAAAACCAGUGAAACCAUUUUUGAACGUGUUUGUUUCAUAUUUUCAAAAAAAUAAGCUUUCAAAGCUUCCAGAUUGUGUCCGAGUUUUCCUAUUAACUCGGUCCAGUGUGCGUCGACCCGUGGCGUGGCGUGCUUUGCGAUAUGUCGAUUGAUCUUCCAUUUAAAACCAUAGAAAAGGAUCGAUAAACAGGGUGUUUGCAACGAACAUCUUAAAAAUCGAUUCUUUAACAUAGCUUCAAAUGAGGAAAUAUCGAAAAGCGAUCAUUCACGCCUCGCCACUGGCGUCGACUGUUGAGUGAUGAGUGCGGUCCAUAUUUGAGUGCAAUUUAAGGUAAGUCGGAGCCUCAUUGGUCGGGGAUCCAAGAACCAAGACGGGUGGGAGGCAGCUCGCUCCAGCGUGAGUAAGCCCGAUUUGCUCCUCUUCCAGCUGAACGCCCCGACAGAUGCGCCCGGCAGCCUUUCCGAGGCUCAGAACCUGGAAAAUUUCAGGCAAAUCCGCUUAGGGCUUCCGCCGUUAAUUAACAGUAGCAGUCCAUCGGCGUGCUUUAGGAAAAACCACAGAUCUGCACAAGGUUGAAAAUGGAAUUACGCGAUUUUGCCUAGCCCCGCGCGGUGGAAGCGCGGUAAUGUUUUCAGUCCGGUACCGUCGAUAAUUGGAAGGGUCAAUAGAUGGACGUUGUCGUUCGCUAACUUUUAGAGAUAAUGGGUUGCUCCCGCCUAUUAUAGAAUUGUGUUUCCGUGAUUGAAUCUGGUGCAUCAAGUAUGAAAUAAUGAGGUUCGUUCCAUCGGUUUUACUCACGGAUAUCGACGGUGGAACUACCAAACAACGCCCAGAUAAGACAGACAUAUUUAGCCAAUAUUUAAACAAUAUUGUUUUGAUAUUUAUGCAAACAUAAGGCCAAUAUUGGUUAAAUAUUGAGCAAAUGUUAAAAGUGUACACCAUAUUUCCUUUUGGCACAAAUACUGUGCCAAUACUUUAAAAUAAUGUGAAACACUGUGAAAAUAUUUUAUAAUAUUCCGGGUAAACAUAUUAUUUUUAAAAAUACUAAAUAAAGAUUCUUUAAAUAUUUUUUUAAAAAUAAUUUUGAUUCAAAUAUUAUCAAAAUAUUGUCAGUAUUGUGUAAAUAUUGCGACAAUACUGACAAUAUUUGCCCAAUAUUGUAAAAAUAUCAUGUCUUGUCUGGGCGUGGCUUGGUUUGCAGCCUCGCGGGUCAUAUGUCUAAUUUUAUUUGAUUUUUCAUCGAUGGCCGUGUAAUGUUUCUAGGGACGGAAACAAGUGGCUUGGUUUGCAGCCUCGCGGGUCAUAUGUCUAAUUUUAUUUGAUUGUUUUCAUCGAUGGCCGUGUAAUUUUUCUAGGGACGGAAACAAGUGCACUAUAUAUUUUGCGAUGAGAAUUUACUAUUUUUGGCUGAUCUCAGAAACAACACAUUUGCCAUUAGUUUUUUUUAACCUUUUGGGCUUUGUUUCCCCCGCAAAAUGACGUGGACCCAUCAGCAUUUUACCACCUUGUUAUCACUUGUUUAAGUGCUUUUAUGGAUGUGCUCAAAAUAGCAGGCCUGUGAUUCAUAACGAUAUCUAAGUGCCAUCAGCUGUUGCCAAACUUGUUUGAUAGUGGAGAAAUUACACACUGGUAAAAAAAACACAUUGGAUCUAGAGUCCAGACUCUUGAAAACAUUGACAAGAAAAUGGACUCUUGAUUCAAUCAGAUUCAAGCUGAAAUCAAAAGGAAAU
rnacentral:lncRNA from 1 species